GACGGAGGGUGCAAGCGUUAUCCGGAAUGAUUGGGCGUAAAGUGUCCGCAGGCGGCAGUUCAAGUCUGCUGUCAAAGACCGGGGCUUAACUUCGGAAAGGCAGUGGAAACUGAACAGCUAGAGUAUGGUAGGGGCAGAGGGAAUUCCUGGUGUAGCGGUGAAAUGCGUAGAGAUCAGGAAGAACAUCGGUGGCGAAGGCGCUCUGCUGGACCAUAACUGACACUCAGGGACGAAAGCUAGGGGAGCGAAUGGG
rnacentral:rRNA from 1 species